UACGGGGGGGGCAAGCGUUGUUCGGAAUUACUGGGCGUAAAGGGCUGGUAGGCGGCCAACUAAGUCGGAUGUGAAAUCCCCAGGCUUAACCUGGGAACUGCAUCCGAUACUGGUCGGCUUGAAUCCGGGAGAGGGAUGCAGAAUUCCAGGUGUAGCGGUGAAAUGCGUAGAUAUCGCUUGGAACGCCAAAGGUGAAAACAGGUUGCUGGGGUUGUGCCGACGCUGAGACACGAAAGCCAGGGGAGCAAACGGG
rnacentral:rRNA from 1 species